rnacentral:rRNA from 1 species
CUGACCUGCCCAAUGAGUAAUUUAAUGGCUGCGGUAUAUUGACCGUACAAAGGUAGCAUAGUCAUUAGHCUUUUAAUCGAAAGCUUGUAUGAAGGGUUUGAUGAGAAAAGAUCUGUCUCUGUUGAAAUHUAUUAGAAUCUUAUUUUUAAGCGAAAAAGCUUAAAUGUGCAUGGAAGACGAGAAGACCCUAUAGAGUUUUAUACUUAUAUAAAUAGUAUGAUUUAAGGUGUUUAAAAUCUAUUUUUUAGAAGAGUAUUUUGUUGGGGUGAUAGAAAAAUUAAUUAAACUUUUUUUAAAUUAAUACACUAAUUUGUGAAUUUAUGAUCCUAGGAUUAGAUUUGAAGAUUAAAUUACCUUAGGGAUAACAGCGUAAUUUUUCCUAGAGUUCUUAUCGAAAGGGAAGGUUGCGACCUCGAUGUUGGAUUAAAAUGAAUUGCUGGUGUAGUAGCUAGAAUAUUAGGUCUGUUCGACCUUUAAAAUUUUACAUGAUCUGAGUUUAAACCGGUGUGAG